GCCCAUGACCUCUUUGAAGGCAUUGUGCCAGUUGUAAUAGCAAGUUGUCUCAAAAUAUUAAUAUCAAAGAAGUAUAUCAGCUAGGAUGAUAUCAACAAUACCAUUCUUCACUUUCCAUACAGUGGACAGACAAAACAAAAAUAAGCCUCAUGUUUAGCCGCAAAAUCUGUCAAGCAGGAAAACCAUAGGCGGUAAUGCCCAUGAAAACUGGAGCUUGCUAAGAUUGCUUCCCUUCCUAAUUGGGCCCCAAAUUCCUGAGCUUGAUCCUGCAUGGCAAGUCUUGUUGGAUCUAACAGAUCGUGGAGCUUGUGGUUGCCCCAGUCCACAACGAUGAGUCUAUUGCAUUUCUUGAAAGCAAAGUUUCUGACCAUAGACAAAGGCAUCAAGAGGUGUUUCCACAGAAUAGACUGCUGCCCAAACAUCAUCUAGAACAUUAUCCAAAACUAAUAAAGUUGUUUGGGCCUCUUGUGGGUCUUUGGACCAUGAGGUUUGAGGCAAAGCACAGUUUCUUUAAAAGGGUAAUUAAACGCACGAGUUGCUUUAAAAAUGUGCCCCUCUCUCUGGCUGUGAAACAUCAGUAUAUGAUUGGGUACCACUUGUUGUCUCCAAGUAUCGAUAAACCAAUUCUGGAUGUGUCAAAUGCAUCUCUUGUCCCGUUUUUUUUAAAGGAAGAGUUGGCUCAAUCUUUCAAACAAAGAUAUCCUGAUCUAUCUGAAAUACACCUUUCAAAAAAUGUUUGGAGCAAGGGAAUAAACUACAGGGCAGGUAUGGUAGUUGCCCAUGGGUCCGAAGGUGGACUGCCUGAGUUUGGGGAAAUCCAUCAAAUAUGCAUUUUGCAUCCAAGAUUGUUUUUUCUUUUGAAACUGCUGUGUAGAUGGUAUAGAGAGCAAUAUGGAGCCUAUGAGCUGACUCCAUCUCCAGCACAAGAACUUGCUCUUGUUGAAGUCUGUGAACUGGUUGAUGAUUAUCCCUUGGCUGCCUAUCUGGUUGGGUGUAUGCGGAUGGUGACCUUGAAAAGAUCCAUCUGUGUUUAAAACAGUGCAGUAAGACCAUGACAGCGAUUCUCAGAGUAAUCUUGGGACCAGACAGCUGUCAGAGGGUGGUGUUUCCUUCUGGUCUACCUUCAACUGUAACUGACCUAGAGACUGAGAUAAAGACUCAAUGUAAAAUAAAACAAUCCUUUCGACUGCAAUUCAUGGAUACACUUUUUGGCAACAACUUCAUAAA
ensembl:lncRNA